UUGCCACAAGUAUUCAGUGACCUGAGAUCAAUGUCCCUUUGGGAAGAAGCAAGAACUUCUGGUGUAUUUUAGACAUAAUGUGUCAGAAAGUAGAAAAACACACAGUGGGAUGUUAGUGGGCAAUGAGGAAAUCUGCUUAAAUUGCUGCAGCAGGCAGUGCCUGGUUUCUCUUUAUGCUUUGAUGAACCUGCUAUUUGCUGCUGUCCUGUUAUUGUGCUGCAGAUACAACGCCACAGGAACACAAGAUCAUUCAGAUCACGAAUGCCAAAGUCGGGGUCGUGAGCUGUGGAGAGUGUCUGGCAGCGGGGCAACACUGUGCUUGGUAUACUGAGGAGAGUUUUCUAGAAGUGGGUCAGCACAUAUGGGAGCGCUGUGACACAGCCAGGGCACGGAUGAGGACGGGCUGUCCUUUUGAUCGCCUGGAGGACCCCAGAGGGGCCGCUGUCCUUCUAAAGGGUCGAAAGAUCACCUUCCAUCCUAAAGAACAAAGACACCAGCGGCGGUACAGACAGCCCACCCAACUCCAGCCUCAGACUGUUCUUCUGCACCUCAGGCCACACCUCAGUUCAGUGGAGGACACUGUCCGUCCACAGAAACAAUCUGCCCAGUGUCAAGAAGUUGGGAGCUGACCUCAUAGAGACCAAUAUUACCAGUGACUUCAGAAUGGGUCUGUCAGCAUCGGUUUUCUUUUCCCUCUUACCUGAGUGGUAGGCUAGCAAAAUUUUUCUUAACUUUUUAUACCUCCAUACUUCACUUUUUAUGGAAUACCCUUGUGUCACAUUCACACAGUCACACUCCUGGGAGCUGCCCGGUACACUCAUAAUCUUACCACUGAGCAGCGCCACUGGAGCGAUUGGGGAUUAAGUGCUUUGCUCAAGGACAACUGGUAGCUGCUGAAAGAAGGGAGAGCAUUAGUUAUUCACUUUCCACCCUUCAGUCACAAAAUCACUUCUCAAAACUUUACACUGCUUCUUACUCACCCCCCCCCCCCCCCCCCACCAAUUCAUCUCCGCUCCAAAAGGUUUUGGUGCAUUUGUGGACGAGGCGGUGAUGCCGUACAUCAGCACUGCGGAGGACACGCUCAGGAACCCAUGUAAGAAGACCGAGCCCUGCCCUUGUGCCCCUCGCUUCACCUACCCCCAUGUCCUGAGCCUCGCCGCCAACGGGAGCCUCUUCACGGAGCUCGUGGGGUAGCAGUGGAUCUCUGGUAACCUGGAUUUACCAGAGGGGGGGGGCUAGAAGCCGUGAUGCAGGCCGCUGUAUGUGAGGAGGAGAUCGCAUUCUACCGAUGCUGGUUUCCACUUUGCUGGAGACGGCAAAUUGGGCGACAUUGUGCUUCCCAACGAUGGAAAGUGUCACCUGCAUAAAAAUGUGUACACCCAAGGAAAUUUCCAGGCGCUGACCUCUGAGGUUGUUAUGGAGAACAGCAAGCUGCCCCCAGGCUAUCACAUCUCCUAUACUUCACACUGUAAGGACCACAGGCUGAGGCGCGGUGAACAAGGGAGGAGGUGCUCCGACAUCUCCAUAGGUGAUGAGGUGUAAAGGGGGGAGAGUUGAAACAUUUGGCGAAUGCGAUCAAGCACAGUCACGCAGGGUGGUUGACUCCUACCUUUGCCGCCACGAUAAUGUAUCAGAAGUGUGCGGUGGACACGGAGAGUGUGUUUGCGGGAAGUGUGUGUGUCAUAAGAGCAGCUCUGUGAAUGCGGUGAUUUCAGCUGUGAUCAUUACCGAGGACUGCAGCGUGGAGGUCUGCGGGGUGUGUAUGUGUCUCCCGGCAUUCAGUGGUGGAGCGUGUGAGUGCCCUCUCAGCUUGGAGUCUUGUUUGUCUCAGGACGGACAGAUUUGUGCAGACAGAGGGGACUGUCACUGUGGCACCUGCAUUUGCCAUGACGACCGCUUUCAAGGCCAAACUUGUGAGCUUUGCCCCUCCUGCCCCAGCGUCUGCACCUUGCACAAAAGCAUUCAUCUUGUGCUGGGCAUUCUCACUGGGCUUGAAUCCAGAGGAGUGCGAAAUGAGAUGUUCCACCCUGAACCUCACUCUGGUAGGUCAGACUGGUGUCUUAGCAACAGUAGCCCCCUCUUCAGGCCUUCACAAGUGUAUGGAAGUAGACACAGAUGGCUGCAGAGUGCACUUCCUGCUGAGCACUGGACAAAAAGAAGACUCUAUCCAUGCUCAUGUAGCUCUUGAAUGAGAUCGACAACCCCAUCUACAAGAGUGCCAUCACAACAGUUGUCAACCCGAAAUCUAAAGAACAGUGAUAGCAGCCGUGGAAAGAGAUCUACUUUUCAAUCGGGAUCCCUGUUGUGCAGCACAAUGAAACAACAUUCUUCAUCUGAACUGUUGUCAGCAGUUGGUCCAGCUUGUUUGGCGGGGGGUGGGGGUUGUUGAAACGGAUGUUGAUGUCUGACUUGCUUCCUUUGAUCUCAAUAUGCAACCCCGGACUACCAGUCUCCAAGCCUUCAUUGCAUGCACUGCACACACACAAAAUCAAACAGAAUCCCCCUACAUAAACUACUUUUUGUAUAAGGUUAGUUGUCUGUUAAUGCUCUCAUGUUAUUAAAAUCCACAAAAGCUAAUUACAUAUUCAGUAAGGCACAUGCAAGGAGAAUCUCCCAUAUAUGCCGACGGUCGGAUCAGCAGUGUCACUUAGGUCUCAGAAGGCAAGAGGCAGUGAGGUGAGCAUUCUGCAUUAUGCCUUGUAAUGCCAGUGGAGACACGGGUCUUUACACGGGUCUCCACUGCCCUCUAGAUGAGGGGAGAAGAAAGUGACACCCUGCUGGAAAUGAUGAGGCAGCUAACCCAUUCAUGUACAAUUCACACAUAGUCAUAGAAAAAGCUAUUUUUGACACCAACAUGAAACCUCGAGUCUUGGUGCUUUUGUAUUCCCACAGACACCUGUGAAUUCAUCAAACAGAGCGCUGCAGGCUUGAAAUGGUGCAAUAUACUGUGCAACUUUAAAGAAAAAGAAAAGCAGCUAGUGUACGUGCCAGCCACUUUGCCAGUGCACUAAGCUGAAUCGGGUAAGCACAGAGAAACAAUGCAAUGUUCAAAUCUAAAUGGAUAUUAGGGUUUUUCCACUGCCUACAGAUGGUUGCUGAUGACCUUGCUUGGAGAGUAGCAAAGCGAUAUUAAUCAUAGCGAUGCCUCCUCCACUCCCAGAGUCACUGGGCAGGCAGGCAUGCAUGCAUGCAACUUUAACACAGCCAGCGGGUGGUGGGAGGUGGGAGGUGGUAGGAGGUGGUGGUGGUGGUGGAGCAUCAGAGAAAAUGACUCCAUAUGCUUCCACUAUGCAGCAUUCUCUUUCAUCUGUGUGUGAUCAUAAAAAAAAUGUCUAGUGCAAAAAAUCACAGCGUCAGAGGAGGCAGCAGAGGCAGCAGCCCUGCCCUGCGACAAGUCUCAU